AGUAUCGUUAAAACCACAUAUUGUCCUUUGCAAACCUUCCGUACCAAAAUUACGGAGAGUACAGAACGGUAGCCUGUUGCCUAAAUAUUCAAGCUUGGGUACACGGGGAAACCCACCCCCUUGGGCGAAUGGGCGACAAGGCCGAAUUGAGACGG
rnacentral:ribozyme from 1 species